GUCAACCAAUCUAAACAAUCUCUGCAUUUUUCGAGCUAAGAAUCCGGUGACCCCUUCAUCUUUAGUGACACCAGAUUUGCGAUACAUCCAAAGCCAAUACGAUAACCGGACUAGUAAAACGGUAUUUCCAAUUGCCAACAAAAGUAAUAGUCCCAUGCUAACUGAAGUUCCAAUUAUUCCUCCUAUGGUUUGAAAGUUAUUCCAUCGAUCUGCAAACUUACUGGAAGUAGCUGCUACUACGAUGCAAGUUAUAAGGACUACAGUUGAAUGACCAAUGCUGAACCAAGUUCCAACUGUUGACAUUGGUUUGUCUGUUGAUAAUAAACGGCGCGUUAAGUUGUCAAUUGCAGUAAUAUGAUCAGCAUCGAGAGCGUGUCUUAAACCAAGUGUCCAAGAUAAUAAAACUGAGAGAAAUAACGAUCUGUUAACUAAACUGAUGACUAUUGCCGCAACUAUCCAAACUACGAUAUUUACCGAUAUCAAAGAAAAGAUAGGCACGCUAACCUUUGGUGGAAGCUUUGAUAGAAAGGGUAUUUCGAAAUAAAAAUUCUCAAACUUCCUUAGAAAUUCAUUUUUUCUAGGUUUAACAUAUUCAGACAUACUGUUCAUACAAAUAAACGCGUAAUUUGAAUAGAUUGCGUUCACAUAAACCUGUAUCCACUUAGGAUUCCAAUAAUAAUAACAAUUUUACCUAAUAUCACAACAGUUCUGCAACGCACUGUAGUAGUUUACUUUAAAGGAAGUAAAUCGCUUGAGUUUGUGAGAAACGAACUUGGUUGACUCACAAAGUUCCUAUCCUCAACACAAUGGUAAAAGAAUUGAAUAGUGCAGAGUGUAGAAAAGAUGAGCAGGUGAUUUCAAAGGGUAAAAUCAAAGCGAUCAUGAAGGAUACUGCUGUAGUGCAACCUAUCAAAGUCAUAUUUAAUUCACGUGUCGCAGAUUCAUCUCGUAAGCAGCAACGACCGAUAUGGCGGUGAUGCUUAAACGUGUUUAUUGUCAGCAAUACUACACUACGCUAUGAUACACUACGUUGAGUAUCACUAUAUGUCACAUGUUCUAAUUAUAUAUCGUACCAUGUAUGAUACGAUAUGGAGAUUGAUCUUAAUGAUAAUCUAUUAAGAUCAAUAUUAUCUGAAUACUAUAAAUAGAGCUACUGCUGAACCUCGUUCCUCAGUUCAGUUAUGAGCUAUAUUAGUGAUAGGUAACAUUAUAACCCAGUUAAUACAAUACCUAUACUCAGUUGCUACUUAUACAACCUGUGUAUUGUAAUAUAAUAGAUCACAAGGAAAACUCACCGCAGUUCUACGUAUCUUUAAAUCAGAUACCAAACUGCGUAGCUUACAUAUAAAUUACAUAACGCUAAUGUCAUACAACACCGUAUUCGUCUGAUUUGUCUACAAAAAUGUAAACAAACAAUUAUUUUAUCGCAUUGAUACAACAAACCAAUUGAAUAUCGCCUUUUGAAGCAUAAACUUUGCAUUUAAAAGAUGAAUAAACAAAGGAAGAAGUUAAUUGGAUCUCACACCGCAUAAACGAUGCAUAAAGUUUGAUGUGGUGUCGUAACGGUGUAUUAUAGGUUG
rnacentral:lncRNA from 1 species